rnacentral:sRNA from 24 species
AUAUCUCUCUGUACGGGAAGGAUGAGAAGCUUCGACCAAGGUUCGAUUCGAGCGUCAGCGAGAAAGCGUUGCCGCAGGCAACGACCCGAAGGGCGAAGCGCGCAGCGCUGAGUCAUCCUUCCCCCACCACCA